rnacentral:rRNA from 1 species
GAUGAACGCUGGCGGCGUGCCUAAUACAUGCAAGUCGAGCGAACAGACGAGGAUCUUGCUCCGCUGACGUUAGCGGCGGGCGGGUGAGUAACGCGUGGAUAACCUCCCUAUAUGAGUGGUAUAACUUCGGGAAAGCGGAGCUAAUACGGGAUAAUAUCUUGAUCCGCAUGGUUCAAUAGUGAGAGACGGUUUUGCUGUCACUUCUAGCUGGUUCUCGGCCGCUUUAGCUGGUUGGUAGGGUAACGGCCUACCACGGCAACGAUGCGUAGCCGAGCUGUUAGGGUGAUCGCCCACCUGGGAACUUGGACGCGGUCAAGACUCCUACGGGAGGCACCAGUAUGGUAUCUUACGCAACGGGCGAAAGCCUGACGGAGCGACGCCGAGUGAGUGAUGAAGGUCCUGCGAUCGUAAAACUCUGUUACGAGGGAAGAACAAAUGUGUCAGUAACUAUGCCCGGCUUGACGGUACCUAAUCAGAAAGCAACGGCUAACUACGUG